GACGAACGCUGGCGGCAUGCUUAACACAUGCAAGUCGAACGGAAAGGCCGUGCUUUUGUGCGGUGCUGGGGUGGCGAACGGGGGAGGAACACGUGGGUAACCUGUCCUUCUCUUUGGGAUAGCGUAAGGAAACUGGGGCUAAUACCGGAUAGGAUCUCCUGCUGCAGGGUGGGGGUUGGAUGGUUUCGGCGGUUGGGGGUGGACUCGCGGCUUAUCGGCUUGUUGGUGGGGUAGUGGCUUACCAAGGCCUUGAACGGUAGGCCGCCUGGGAGGGGGACCGGCCCCAAUGGGACUGAGAUACGGCCCAGACUCCUACGGGAGGCAGCGGUGGGGAAUAUUGCACAAUGGGCGGAAGCCUGAUGCAGCAACGCCGCGUGCGGGAAGACGGCCUUCGGGUAGUGAACCGCUGUCGCCUGUGACGAAGCGUUAGUGACGGUACCGGGUGAAGAAGCACCGGCUAACUACGUG
rnacentral:rRNA from 1 species